UAAAGGAUAUUCUCAAGUAUUAGCAGGUGAGUUGUCAAUUCAACCACACCUGAAAGAUUAGUGUCUGCAAGCAAAGUAUUAGUAGCAAGGUAGUAUGAUAGCAACGAUACUAGAAAAAGCUUUGGCAAUUCCCACCAAUGGUGCUAGAAAAAGGCACGUUGACGGGAUGUUAGCGCCAACAAAGUCUUGCAACAAGUAACAGCGGAGUAAUAAGGAACACUGGUAGCAGCAACAGCAAAGUAACAAGUAACAGCUGUAGCAACAGCAGCAAAGUAACACCAGCAGCAAAGUGGCCCAAUCCCUCUUGUAGCAAGGGACAAGCCUAGGCAAAGUAACAUAGCGAGGACCAGUAGUAAAAGACUCGUAGGUAGUGGAUCGGUGAUGGAUGAGUGUGACGGAUGUGAUUCAUCAUGUAACAACUAUAACACGGAGAGAUAUAUGGCUAGCUCCCGUUCAUCAAUCUAAUGUAGGCAUGCAUUCCGUAUGUAGUCAUACAUGCUUAGGGAAAAGAACUUGCAUGACAUCUAUUGUCCAUCCCUCCCGUGGCAGCGGGAUCCUAAUGGAAACUACAAGAUAUUAAGGUUCUCCUUUUAAUAAAGAACCGGACCAAUGCAUUAACACGCGGUGAAUACAUGAACUCCUCAUACUAUGGUCAUCUCCGGGAGUGGUUCCGGAUAUUGUCACUCCGGGGUUGCCGGGUCAUAACACAUAGUAGGUGACUACAACUUGCAAGAUAGGAUUUAAAACACACAUAUAUUGGCGACAAGAUAAUAGGUUCAGAUCUGAAAUCAUGGCACUCGGGCCCUAGUGACAAGCAUUAAGCAUAGCCAAGUAGUAGCAACAUCAAUCUAGAACAUAGUGGAUACUAGGGAUCAAUCCCCGUUAAGAACUAACUCGAUUACAUGAUAGAUCUCAUCCAACUCAUCACCGUCCAGCAAGCCUACGAUGAUAUUACUCAUGAACGAUGAAGAGCAUCAUGGAAUUGGCGAUGGAGAAAGGUUGAUGAUGACGAUGACGACAAUUUCCCCUCUCCGGAGCCCGAAACGGACUCCAGAUCUGCCCUCCAGAUGAAGAACAGGAUGUGGCGGCGCCUCCGUAUCGCAAAACGCGAUGAAACCUUCUCUCUGUUUUUUUCCAGGCAAAACGGAAGAUAUAGGACUGAGUUUGGGGGCGGUUGUGCCACGUGUGCCCCACAAGCCUGCAUGGCGCGGCCUAGGGGGUGGCCGCGCCGUGUGGGCUUGUGGCCCACUCGCACACCCCCUCACGUGGAUCUUUGCGUAGGUAUUUUUCUUUUAUUCCAGAAAAAAUCUUUGUAAAUUUUCAAGACGUUCCGAGAACUUUUAUUUCUACACAAAAACAACACCAUGGCAAUUCUGCUGAAAACAGCGUCAGUCCGGGUUAGUUCCAUUCAAAUCUUGCAAAUUAGAGUCCAAAACAAGGGCAAAAGAGUUCGGAAAAGUAGAUACGACGGAGACGUAUCAACUCCCCCAAGCUUAAAGCCUUGCUUGUCCUCAAGCAACUCAGUUGACAAACUGAGAGAGACAAAAGAAAAACUUUGAUGAACUCUGUUUGAUCUUGUUGUUGCAACUAUGUCUAACUCACAACCAGAAUUUCAGCAACAUCACAAGCAAACCACAUAAGCAAAUGACAUCUAAGUCUCACGAUAAACUCAUAUCAAUGGCAUAAUCAACUAGCGAGCAAAUAAUAAUAAGCCUCAAGUGUCAACACUUCAAUCAAAACAACAUGAAGCAGUACGAAUAGAUGGUAUCUCGCUAGCUCUUUCCGAGACCGCAAAACAUAAAUGCACAGCACCUUAAAAGACCAAGGGCUGACUAAACAUUGUAUUUCAAGGCAAUGAAGAUCCAUUCAUAGUCACACUCAACACAGUUAAAAGCAAAGCAUAAAAAUGAUAGAGGUGCUCUCUAAUUGGUGCUUUUGUAAAAGGAGGAUGACUCAACAGGAACAUAAAUAGACAGGCCCUUCACAGAGGGAAGCAUUGAUUUGCAGAGGUGCCAGAGCUCAAGCUUUGAAAAUAGAGAUAAUAAUUUUGGGUGGCAUGCUUUCAUUGUCAAUGCAACGACUAAGAGUUCUCAACAUCUUCCACGCUACACAUGCUAUAGGCGGUUCCCAAACAGAAAAGUAAAGUUUUGACUCCCCCCACCACCAAUCAAUCACACUCCACGGCUAGCCGAAUCCUCGGGUACCGUCCAAACCAACAUCAAUCCUGGGGGAGUUUUGUUUGCAAUUAUCUUUUCGAUUUGAGUAUUGAACUGGGAAUUCCAAUUAUCGGCCCCUUUCUCGUGAAUGAUAGUGAAUAAACACAUAUCGACGAUAACACGCAUAGCAUGGAAGAUACCAAUAGCCCCCUUUCACCACAUGAGCGGUUCGGGCAUGCAAAACAGAUUAUUUCUUGAAGAUUUAGAGAGUGGCACAUGCAAAUUUACUUGGAACGGCAGGUAGAUACCGCACAUAGGUAGGUAUGGUGGACUCAUAUGGCACAACUUAGGGUUUAUGGGAGUGAAUGCACAAGCAGUAUUCCCGCUUAGUACAAGUGAAGGCUAGCAAAAGACUGGGAAGCGACCAACUAGAGAGCGACAACAGUCUUCAAAAUGAAUUGAGAUUAACUAACAUUGAGUGCAAGCAUGGGUAGGACAUAAAUCACCAUGAACAUGAACAUCAUAGAGGCUAUGUUGAUUUUGUUUCAACUACAUGCGUGAACAUGCGCCAAGUCAAGCCACUUGAAACAUUCAAAGGAGGAUACCAUCCUAUCAUACUACAUCAUAGUCAUCUCAACAUUCAUGUGGGCAACCAAGACAAACCAUUAUAGGCUCCUAGCUAAAUAAGCAUGGCAUAAGCAACUAUGAUCUCUAAGUUGUCAUUGCAAACAUGUUUCUCUCACAACAAAGCUGAAUCAGGCAUGAUGAGCUAGUCAUAUUUACAAAAACAAAAUAGAUCGAGUUCAUACCAGCUUUUCUAGGCUCAGUCACUUCAUCAUAUAUCGUCAUUAUUGCCUUUCACUUGCACGACCGAACGAUGUGAACAAUAAUAAGCAUGCUCGUGCAUUGUACUACGCUGGAAUCUGCAGGCAAACACAAAGGAGAAGACAAAGUAAUAUGGCUCUAUGAAAACUAAACAAGUAUGCAUGCAAGAGCCACUAAACAUUGUAACCAAUAUCUUCUACCUUGACCCAAAGAAAAAGAAAACUAUCUACACGGGAAAGCUC
rnacentral:lncRNA from 1 species